rnacentral:lncRNA from 1 species
UUCAUCAUUUAGAGAGAACACCAGACAGAUGGCACCUGCAAUAUCAAUCAAAAAUAAUGGAUCUAUUAUCAUUCAUCUUAAUAGGAGGCUAUGAUCCAAUUAUCCCUAUAACUAGCUCAUUUUAUGGACCUAAUAAUUUAAAAAAUUUAAUUAAUUUAGAGAAGAGAGAAGAAGAGAUCAAUCAGUAGACCACAAUCCUUCAACUGACUUCACCAAGUCACUUAAUCAGAUUAGGAUCAUAUUGAUCGGACUGGCACCU